rnacentral:lncRNA from 1 species
GGGCACAACUCCGGUUGGACUGAGGGAAAACGAAAGCUCCAAUGCGACACUAUGGGUUCGACUGAGGGAGAAUGGUUGCACAGAAACACAGUUCCAAUAGCAUAGACAAGAAGGCUCUACAAAGGAGAAUAAGGCUCGACGAGGGAGAACAAGGCUCGACGAGGGAGAACGAUGGGUUGACAACACAACAAUGAAUGACAACAUAAUCAGAGAGGGAUAAUCAUUUGUGGAAGUGAGUGAGGGAUAAUCAUGGAUUGGGCAAGCUACGACUCGACAAGGACGAAAAUCUAGGGCUCAGGAAGGGGAGAAACUUUGGUUGCGGAAGGGAAUGAAAAAAAUGAAAACAGUGUCUUCAUCAAAUAUUGUAU